rnacentral:lncRNA from 1 species
AUAUGCAUACAUAAGCAAGUAAUUAAUAAGCAAAAACUUAUGCUAGUAGAUCCAUAGUUAUUAUAAGUACAUGUAGUAUAAUGAUUAAUACAUAUAUGGAAGGAUCAACUUAUGGUAGUAGAUAAUCAUAAUUAAUAUAUAGUAAAUAGGAAGAAAAUUACUUAAUAAUACGGAGGACGUGGCGGUGGAGGACCGGGAUGACCAGGCUGUGGUGGCGGUGGAGCAGGAUGAGCAUGAAGUGGUGUAUGAUGGUGGUGGACAACUGGUGGUGGAGCGUAAGGAUUUGGAGGAGGGGGUGGAUGGUGGAAAACAGGUGGUGGGGGAGCAAAAGGAUCAUGAGGAGGUGGAGGGUGGUGAGAGUGGGGCAUAGGUGGUGGUGGUGGACCUGGACCAAGUGGUGGACCUCUUCCCAUGAUCGGAGGUCCUGGUGGUGGAGGAUUGUGCCUAUGGUUGUGAGGAUAACUCAUGCUUAAUUAUUUUCUUACUAGUGAAUUCAAAAGUCUAUAUAGUAAAUAAUUUAUUUAGAAGGUUGAAGAGAAGAUUGUGAAUUUGUCCUUGAUGACACGAGGGACUGACUUAUGGCUGGGAAUGGGAAUUGUUGUUGCUGUU